ensembl:snRNA U6 U6 spliceosomal RNA
UUGCUUUAGCAGCACAUAUGCUAAAAUUGGAACAUUACAGAGAAGAUGGCCCUUGCACAAGGAAGAUACACAAAUUCAUGAAGUGUCCCAUUUUUUA